AGGGUGCCGGGGCUUCUCCCGUUUUUCCCCCCCAGACGGGAGAAG
rnacentral:tRNA from 1 species